ensembl:snoRNA SNORA70 Small nucleolar RNA SNORA70
CUGCAGCCAAUUAAGCCGACUGAGUUCCUUUCCUCAUGGGGGCCCAGUGUGCAAUGGCUGUAAACAGCAGCUUCCUUGGUAGUGUAUGCAGCCUGUUUGUUGUAUGGGUUGCUCUAAGGGACCUUGGAGACAGUC